rnacentral:rRNA from 1 species
UGGGAGACUGCCGGGGUCAACUCGGAGGAAGUGGGAUGACGUCAAAUCAUCAUGCCCCUUAUGUCUUGGGCUUCACGCAUGCUACAAUGGCCGGUACAAAGGGCUGCGAUACCGCGAGGUGGAGCGAAUCCCAAGAAAGCCGGUCUCAGUUCGGAUUGGGGUCUGCAACUCGACCCCAUGAAGUCGGAGUCGCUAGUAAUCGCAGAUCAGCAACGCUGCGGUGAAUACGUUCCCGGGCCUU